ACGCUGCUGCUUUUUUUUUUCCGGGUUCGGAGCCAUUCCGGAUGCUUUAGGCUGCCGGAUGUCUGAUCUCCGGAUAACUGAGGCGUUUCUGUACAUGGAUUAUCUGUGUUUUCGAGCGCUUUGCUGCAAGGGACCACCACCUGCGCGCCCUGAAUAUGACUUGGUUUGCAUAGGCCUCACGGGCUCCGGGAAGACCAGUCUGUUGUCCAAGCUCUGCAGCGAAAGCCCGGAGAACGUUGUGUCGACCACAGGUUUUAGUAUAAAGGCAGUGCCACUCCAGAAUGCCGUUUUGAAUGUAAAAGAACUUGGAGGAGCUGACAAUAUCCGGAAAUACUGGAGCCGCUACUACCAAGGAUCUCAAGGGGUAAUAUUCGUAUUAGACAGCGCCUCUUCAGAGGAUGACUUAGAAACUGCUAGGAAUGAACUGCACUCCGCUCUCCAGCACCCACAGCUAUGCACUUUACCCUUUUUGAUAUUGGCCAAUCAUCAAGACAAGCCAGCAGCUCGCUCAGUACAAGAGAUCAAAAAGUAUUUUGAACUUGAACCACUGGCACGUGGAAAGCGCUGGAUUCUGCAGCCCUGCUCUCUGGAUGAUGUGGACACACUGAAGGACAGCUUCUCUCAGCUCAUAAACUUGUUAGAAGAAAAAGACCACGAGGCGAUGAGAAUGAGAGACCCAACACAGAAGUUCCGGGAAAGCCUCGAAUCCACCGCGUUCGUUCCCCAUCCUGAUUCCAUCGUUGGUAUCGAGACUGGCCCGGCUUCAGCAUCUACUUGCCUCUAG